rnacentral:rRNA from 1 species
AUUGAACGCUGGCGGCAUGCUUUACACAUGCAAGUCGAACGGUAACAGGCCUUCGGGUGCUGACGAGUGGCGAACGGGUGAGUAAUGCAUCGGAACAUACCCAGUCGUGGGGGAUAACGUAGCGAAAGUUACGCUAAUACCGCAUACGUCCUGAGGGAGAAAGCGGGGGAUCGCAAGACCUCGCGCGAUUGGAGUGGCCGAUGUCAGAUUAGCUAGUUGGUGGGGUAAAGGCCCACCAAGGCGACGAUCUGUAGCGGGUCUGAGAGGAUGAUCCGCCACACUGGGACUGAGACACGGCCCAGACUCCUACGGGAGGCAGCAGUGGGGAAUUUUGGACAAUGGGGGAAACCCUGAUCCAGCCAUGCCGCGUGCGGGAAGAAGGCCUCGGUUGUAA